CCCUUAGAUGUUCUGGGCCGCACACGCGCUACACUGAAGGAGGCAGCGUGUACUCCUGGAUCGAAAGAUUUGGGUAACCCGCGAAUCUCCUUCGUGCUAGGGAUUGAGGUUUGCAAUUAUCCUUCGUGAACGAGGAAUUCCCAGUAAGUGCAAGUCAUAAGCUUGCGCUGACUACGUCCCUGCCCUUUGUACACACCGCCCGUCGCUACUACCGAUUGAAUGAUUUAGUGAGGACUUCGGACUGGGACCGAUGCGGCUUUCGGGCUGCGUCGGUAUUCUGGAAAGAUGUCCAAACUGUAUCAUUUAGAGGAAGUAAAAGUCGUAACA
rnacentral:rRNA from 1 species